rnacentral:rRNA from 1 species
UACGUAGGGAGCAAGCGUUGUUCGGAAUUACUGGGCGUAAAGGGAGAGUAGGCGGAACGGUAAGUUAGAAGUGAAAUUUACGGGCUUAACCCGUAACCUGCUUUUAAUACUGCCAUUCUUGAGUAUGGGAGAGGAUGAUAGAAUUCCAGGUGUAGCGGUGGAAUGCGUAGAUAUCUGGAAGAAUACCAGUUGCGAAGGCGGUCAUCUGGCCCAAUACUGACGCUGAGGCUCGAAAGCUAGGGGAGCAAACAGG